rnacentral:rRNA from 1 species
CAGUCCCACGGGAAUACGUAGGGUGCGAGCGUUGUCCGGAAUUACUGGGCGUAAAGAGCUCGUAGGCGGUUUGUCGCGUCGUCUGUGAAAUUCUGCAGCUUAACUGUAGGCGUGCAGGCGAUACGGGCAGACUUGAGUACUACAGGGGAGACUGGAAUUCCUGGUGUAGCGGUGAAAUGCGCAGAUAUCAGGAGGAACACCGGUGGCGAAGGCGGGUCUCUGGGUAGUAACUGACGCUGAGGAGCGAAAGCGUGGGUAGCGAACAGGAUUAGAUACCCCUGUAGUCCCUGUCUCUUAUACA